UGGUAUAUUUUUGGCAAAUCAUAUUGGAAAUUGAUUAGCAGACCGGAAUUCCCUUGUAGGAAGCCCCGCCCUUUAGGGCGGGUGAGGAUGUCACUGUUCUGCUUCC
rnacentral:misc_RNA from 1 species